UACGUAGGGUGCAAGCGUUGUCCGGAAUUAUUGGGCGUAAAGAGCUCGUAGGCGGUUCGUCGCGUCGGCUGUGAAAACCCGGAGCUCAACUCCGGGCCUGCAGUCGAUACGGGCGGACUUGAGUGUUGCAGGGGAGACUGGAAUUCCUGGUGUAGCGGUGAAAUGCGCAGAUAUCAGGAGGAACACCGGUGGCGAACACGGGUCUCUGGGCAACUACUGACGCUGAGGAGCGAAAGCGUGGGGAGCGAACAGG
rnacentral:rRNA from 1 species